ensembl:lncRNA
GAGUGACAUAUCUUUUCUGAGUCCUAAAAUACAUUCAGUUUUGGGAUAGCCUACACUACGUCAGGGCGAAUCUCGCGACACACCAGCGACCACGGGCAGUGUCCUUCCAAGAAGACCCGACCCAAACUCGGAACGAGAGAAGAACUUCGCCAGAGAGGUAAAAAAGCUGGACCCAGAGGUAAAACAGCUGGACCCAGAUCAGCCUGACCUCACAAUCAGACAACGGACCGGUGUAAAAGGGAAGCCACACAUACGACGCUUCUGUAUGUUGAAAUGCUACACCGGGAGGUUUAGCUAGCUAGUUAGCUACCUGUUGACUGUGGCAUGACUGUGUGUUGGUUGACUGCAGCGAUAACUCCGUCUCGUCGGCGUGUUAAAGUUAACAUCACUACACAGCUGCGACGCACACAGGACUGCGGUGAGGACACACAACCAUGACUAGAAUGAAAACUAAACUAAAAUCAUGUGACUAUUUAGGUCCUUAGCACGGACCUCUAACUUGAUGUGUCUAUAUGUUUUUCUAUGCACUGUUGUACAAUAAUUAUAACUCAAGUACAAACAUAUUCCGUGCACUAUUCAAUUUAUUUUAGGGGUGUAACGAUUCAUUCACUGAAUCGAUUAAUCGAUUUAUAUUCCUGCGAUCCAACUGAAUCGAUCUGUGCUCCACAAAUCGGCAUUCCGGACGACAUAUAGCGAUUACAAAUCGAUUGAAAUGGUACACAAUCGAUUGUAUCGAUACUUGGAAACUGCACAUUGGAUUUAAGUACAAAAACGGUGUGGAUGUGCGUUUGUUUGUUUGUUUUUUAGCACUUUAGACACGUUAAACGUUACUCGAUUCAGUCUGCCUGUCUGUGACGUCAUCAGUACGCAGCGGCAGCCGCUCGAAACUCGGUGUGGAAAAAUGUUGGCUUUUGCAAACACGGAGGUGUUCUAAUUAAGUCGUUCGCUGUUUGUAGAAUAUGUAGAAGCCAAAUAAAAAACACGGAAACACGACGAAUCUUUCCGGCGCCGUGGGAUUAAACAACGCCGACAAUCAGGCAUGUCUAGCAGCGUUACCGCUGCAGCAGAAGGUAACUCCCGCUCUGCAGACACCUCAGGCCUCGCCAGCACGAAACUCAUCACAGUAACAAUUGCCAAGUUUAGCUGUAAAGACGUGCGACCCUACAAUGUGGUUGAAAAUCCGGGGUUCUGUAAAUUGAUCCAAACAUUGUGUAAUUAUUGUGUAAUGUUUACAUUGAAAAUGUUUGCUUGUUUAUAAUAUCCAAUAUAUUAUAAUUUAUCUAAUUAAAUAUAGUUCAUUUAAAUCUGAUUUCCUUACAAGAAACAGGGAUCUCAGAAACUUUGCCUGCACUGUCCAGUAAAGUUACUGAAUCGAUUUCAAGUCACUGAAUCGAAUCAAAUUAAAUCGUUCUAAAUUAACCCAGAUCGUCCAUGAAUCGAAUCGGCAACCAUUACAUUACAGGUAAUUUAGCAGACGCUUUUAUCCAAAGCGACUUACAUUACACUUUAAACCCAUGGCUUUUUCACAUUUUUGCCUGGGGAGCAAUUAGGGGUUACGUGUCUUGCUCAGGGACACUUCGACAUGGAACAUGGGGCAGCCUGGACUCGAACCACCAACCUUGUGCUUCCCAGCACACCUUCUCUAACCCCUGCGGCACAAUGAUCCCAUGAAUCACCAUUCGAAUCGAAUCGUUGUUAAAAUGAAUCGUUACACCCCUAAUUUAUUUUCAUUAUGAAUGGUCACUUGGUCCCAGCAAAGGUGUAAAAAUAUUAUAGAAAUGGUCUGAGGUUAAAUGUUCCAGUGAAGCCGAGCGGAGCCAUGGUGUUUGACCUGCAGAUCCAUUUAAUAAAUAAAUAAUCCACAUCUCCAUCACGUCUAGCAGGUUAACCUUCUCACUCCCUACACAUAAGAGACCGGAUCCGUGAUAGAUGGCUUCAGUAAAAUGAACCCACCUUAUAGUGAUGUAUGCAAUUGUAAUUCAAUGACAAAACCCACAUGUAGGCUUACAAACUAUUUAUCUAUCAAACUAUCUGGUAUCUAGCUAUUGCUGUUUGCCUCUAUUGCUGUAACUGCCUCGUUGCCAUGGUUGCAGCGUUGGGCUGGCGUUGGGACCUGACGGGACCCGACUGUAAAUGAGGGGUGGGCCGCUUUGAUGGGAAUGGGAGAGUGGUUCUUGGUUGCUAGGGUAACAGUGGAUUCUCUCUCUCUCUCUCUCUCUCUCUCUCUCUCUCAUUGAAAUCGUCAUGUCUUUUGUUUCCAAUCCUUUCCACCUUUAAAGAAAGAGUAAAUGAAGUACGAUGCAUUCCUGCAGAGAGGGAGGUAUAGGGUUUGAAUCACUGGUUGUGAGGAACAACCACUGCAUUUUUUAAAGGAUGUACAAAAAAGAUACAGACAGAUCUAUUCUGAUUCUAAUGCAUUUAUCUAUUCUGAUUCUAAUGCAUUUAUGCAUUGCAUUUAGCGUCUGUGUGGAUGACAAAAACAAAGACUGCAGAGUCCAAAAUGCCAAGCUGGAGGCUCUAAAACGGCAGUCCUCUGACCAACUACGUUCAGACCGAAGUCUAUGCAUGAGUAAAAAGAUGUAAUGACUCUACCUUAAAGUAGGUUACUAGCUUAACUGUUUUAAAGCCAAACCAUGUUUUUUCUAAGUAAUUUGUUGCCUACGCAGUGGUUUUCAUUAUGAGGACGGGUAGAGGUUCAAUGAAUGGAAGUACAAAAAAUCACAUUAGUUAUUCAUGUUUGGGGGAGUACAUCAAUAUGGGGGCUAUCUUGGUCCAAUUGUUGACUGGCUAGGGGAUCGAAGAACUUAUCUGUUCUUGUUGUGUUUUCUGUCAUUCACCUCGCCUCUCAUUUCAGACACCUCCCUUCCUGUGUACCGCCCUCCUGUGUGAUUGCAAGCCCCGCCCUGAUUGUUUCCACAUGUGUCUCGUUCCCCUGUGUAUUUAGUCUGUGUCUACUUAGUCUGUGCCAGUUUGUUUCUUAACGUCAAUGAGCUUACCAGCAAUUUACCCCCAGAGUGGCUUCCCUUUUUUUUAAUCCGUUUUUGUUCACCUGCGAUUCGGAUUCCUCUGCCUGCAUUGUUCAAUUACCUGUGUACCGAACCCCUGCUUGAAGUAAAUACCUUGUUUUCUGAACCUAACUACCUUGCAUCGACUCUCCUUUUGAGUCCAGUUCCUUGUGGCUUCCAGCUCCCUAGCAGUAACUCCAUAGUUUGAUUUCUAAAGCAUAGCAUACAUUAACAUGACCCUCUCUUACCAAGCAGAACAUCCCCAUACGGCCGUACCAAUUGGAGAGGCCCUCCCUCCCUCCCUCACUCUGAAAUAGUUUAAAUCAUGACAACUGUUAUCUGGCUGUUUUCCCAAUUCUCUGAUGGAGGCAAGGGUUAACCCACUCCUGUAGAAACCUACCCUCAACCCUUCUGAAGAUAACUACAGACCGGUCUCUCUUUUUCCCUUUUUGUCCAAAACUCGAACGUGUGAUCUUUAACCAACUCUCCUAUUUCCACUGUAACAACCUCCUGGACCCCCACCAGUCAGGCUUCAAGGCAGGCCAUUCCACAGAGACUGCUCUCCUUGCUGUCUCAGAGCAACUCCACACUGCUAGAGCCGCCUCUCUCUCCUCUGUCCUCAUCCUUCUGGAGCUCUCUGCUGCAUUUGACAAAGUCAACCCCCAGAUCCUUAUUUCCUCCCUUCAGGAACUUGGUGUCUCAGGCUCUGCUCUCUUCCUUCUCUCGUCCUACCUCGACGGCCGCACCUACCGGGUAAUCUGGCGAGGAUCUGUGUCGGAAUCUUGUCCUCUUACUACUGGAGUUCCUCGGGGUUCCGUUCUCCUCCUCUUCUCGCUCUACACCAACUCUCUCGGCGCUGUCAUUCACUCGCAUGGCUUCUCCUACCACAGCUACACCAAUGACACCCAACUAAUUCUCUCCUUCCCUCACUCGGACACCCAGGUGGCGGCACGGAUCUCUGGCUGUCUCUCUCAGUGGAUGUCCGCUCACCAUCUGAAAAUCAACCCCAACAAGACUGAACUACUACUCUUUCCGGGAAAAGAUUCUCCGACCCAGGACUUGAUGGUCAACUUGGGCAAUCAGUGUUAAUGCCCGCUUUGACUGCUAGGAACCUCGGCGUGACACUGGACAGCCAACUCUUCCUGACUGCAACAACAUGAUCCUGUAGAUACACACUCUACAACAUCAGGAGAAUAUGUCCCCUUCUCACUCAGAAGGCAGCGCAGGUACUGAUUCAGUACCUGCUAGCGCCAUUCAACCUCUGCAGUUCAUCCAGAUUGCAGCAGCUCGACUGGUCUUUCACCUUCCGAAAUUCUCCCACACUACCCCACUCCUCCGCUCUCUUUACUGGCUAGAUCACAACUCUUUGCUGUCCUUGCUCCGAAAUGGUGGAACGAGCUCUCCGAUGACACUAGGAUCGCAGAGAGCCUUCACAUCUUCUGCCACAAACUAAAGACACACCUCUUCAGACUCUGACUAAAAGACUAACAAAAAACACUACAUGGUUUAGGGCCAAAGUAUAUCACUGAUAUGCUUCCACUACAUAAGCCUUCAAGAUCACUAAGAUCUUCUGACACCAAUCUGUUAGUGAUUCCCAGAGUAAAUACAAAUCAUGGGAAAGCAUCAUUUAGUUACUACGCAACAAACAGCUGGAAUAAACUUCCUGAAGAUUUAAGACUUGCCCCAACUCUGACCACGUUUAAAACAAGACUGAAAACUUUUAUGUUCAGCUUCGCCUUCUGCAAAAUUUUACCUACAUUUUGCAUUUUAACCUCUGCCUUUAAUUAAACAAUUUAAAUAAGAUUUUAACUUAUAAUUUUAUUUGCUGUUUUUAAUUGUCUUUUAAUUCCUGCAUUUUAUUUUCACUUUAUUGUAUGAAAUGUUAUGAUGUGAAGCACUUUGAGUCUGCCUUGUGUAUGAAAAGCGCUAUACAAAUAAAAUUGCCUUGCCUUCUACACGUACGUGAAAUACAUGACCUAUUCUAUGGAUACAAAUGACAUAUAAUAAAAGUGUAUACAAAUAUUUCAGUGAUGACAAACAAUGAGAAAGCAAAAGGCAUGCACUCAAUCCAGUGUGUGGGGGAUUGCACAAUCUGAGAUGAGGUGCAGCUCAUCGCUGCCUCAUCUCGCGAGUCGCCUCUCUGUUUGAACACGACAUGGUCAAAUUCAGUGAUUUUGAUUAUAAAAAUGUUUGGAAUGAUUGUAAUCAUAUAAAAAUUACAUUACAAGCACAAAUCAGUAGAUACAUAUUAAUAUGUAUUUUAUUUUAUCAUUAUUUGUUUUUUACGUUUCAUGAUGACUUACGUUUAAUGAUGACGAGGCGAAAUUACGCGUAAAAACGUACCGUUACGUCCCGUUGGCAAAAAGAUAGAAAAAAUAGUUUACAACGGUACUUCAUGCCCGGCUUUCCAGUGAGAGAAAACGUUACAACACUUUAGUGAGAUACAACGUUACAACACUUCAGGAAGCUGCACUCGGUAAGUUUUACGGUAAGCAAUCUGUUUCUGAAGUAAUUAUUUAGGUGUUAAUGUUAACUUGUCAAGUUAGAUUUUUCUUUUAGCUUGCCAACAUGGUUAGCUAGCCAAGUUUUUAAAUGCCUUUUUAUACCUACUGUUAAUACUGUUAAUAAUAUGCCUGUUUAUUGCAAUGUAAAGCAUGUUUGAGUUGUAUGUAUGUAUGUAUGUAUGUAAGUAUGAAAGCCUAGCUAGCAAACUUACCACUCUCCCAAUUCAGUUUGCUUUCAGAAUGAGAGAUUUUGACGAGGAGGAUGCCAUUACUGUGGCUCAACUAGAGGCAGGAGUCAGGUGCAAAUGGUCAUGGUCCUGGCUGGAGCUAGACUCUAAAAGCAAUGUGAAGGGAGUAGAAUAUGUAUUCCCCCUCUCACAGUUUUUCAAAAAAAUUGACAAACCAGGCCAUGCCCAAUGCAGCCUAUGUUGCAAAGAGAUAAAUUAUUCUACCAAGGGCUCCCAUGCCCUUUUGGCACAUUGUAAAACGGAAAAACAUACCCAAAAGGUGGUGGGUAUUAUGACCACACCUAGCAUAUUAGUGUCAACAACUCAGGGCCAGUCACAGCAGGGACCAUCAAUGUCUGGCCCAUCACAGCAGAGCUCAUCAAUGCCUGGCCCAUCACAGCAGAGCUCAUCAAUGCCUGGCCCUCAGCAGAUGAGGGAAAGAGUGAAGGUGCCAGUACCACUCUUUGAAAGGGCAGCAAAUGCAGAAGUGGGUGUUAGUUAGCCAGUAUGUACCAGUUGUUCAUUAGAUCAUUAAAGUAUUAAGCCUAGAUAAGCAGACAAGGAAAACGUUUUUUUAUAAAGAAGUAUUAUUUACAUGUGCUUUGCAGGGGGUAUCAUAUAAAAUACUAAAACAUAUUUUUUUUCAGGCACUGGUUCUUGGAACCAUUGCAGAACAUUCCCUCCCCUUAUCUGUAGCUCCUGUCAUUGUUGAGCUUGCCCAGACACUGGCUCGGGAUAAACCAGCUUUGACGGGCAUGAAGCUGUCCCGGACUGCUGCCUCAUACAAGUUGGUCCAGGGCCUGGGCCACACCUUCUCAGAGAGGACGUUUGAGAGCAUCCGGUCAACACCAUUGUCAAUUAACUUAGAUGAGAGCACAUCAAACUCCAAUAAGAAGGUGUUGUCCAUUCUUGUGUGCUAUUUCAAUCAGGAGCUGAAGCAUGUGGUAGUUGAACACCUUUGCUCCAUUGAAAUCCUAAAGGGCACUGCUCUAUAUAUUUGGAAUUGGCCUUAGUGACCUUUUUCAAUGACCAUAAAAUUCAUUUUGCCAACCUUAUCAGUAUGAUGAUGGACUCCUGUAAGGUCAUGCGUGGGAGCAAGUCUGGGCUGGAGACCAGAAUCAGAGGGACGCACUGCCAGAACCUCUUGGAUGUUGAUGGAGAUUCUUGCCACCACAUCCACAAUGCCGCCAAACAGUUUGCUGCCCCCUUCGGCCACCACCUCGAGCAGCUCUUCGCUGACCUUCACACAGACCACCAGUGGGCUUCAGACCAGUUGAAAUACCUGAUUGAGAUCUGUGACUUUAUGGGCAUUCAUGGAACGAACCCACAACGGUUUGUGGCACAUCGGUGGCUUUCGGCUUAUGAUGUGUGGAUCAGCACCCGCCGAAUGUUGCCUGCAUUCCAGGUCCUGUACUUUGGAUUCCUCAGUCAGGCAGACAAGACCCUUUAUGAAGACGUCCUACAGGAGAUCUACAAGGACCGUAGUGUUGGUGAGCGGGCAAAGGUCAGGAUCCAAUAUUUCCAUCAGGACCUCUCCAAAAAAGGAAUGACACAAGUUGGUAAGGACAGAAAAGGGAGGGUGGUGAAGAAACUCUGGUUCGAGAGUCUCAACACUAACCUCUAGCUGAGCGUUUACCUAGGCGUCCAUGACAUCCUCAAGGAGUAUGUGAUAGUGUUCCAGGGUAGCCAAACCCUUGUCCACAAACUGCAUGACAAGCAGCUUGGAGUGGUCACGAAUUUCAUGCCCUGCUUUAUCAAGGCUGAGCAUCUUCACACCACUCCAAAGAAGCUCAUGGAGAUGGAGUUCAGGGACAAAAUGCUGCCUCUCAGGGAGCUUUAUGUCGGACCGGUGGCUGAGAAACUGAAGGCAGAAAAUCCAAGUCCAAUCCAUUGUGCUGCAGGUUCUCGACACAGUGAAGACUGCAUACAUGUCAACAGCAGCCUACAUGCAGAAAAAGCUGCCACUAAACAGCAGGACCCUACAGGCACUGUCUGCUCUGGACCCAUUGGUGAGAGGCCACUCAGAGACUGGCAUACUGCUGAAGCGGCUGUCAGGGCCAGGGAUGAUGAGCCACUUGGUGCCACCCCAGUGUGACGUGCCACUGGAAGUGGUGAAAUUCAAUGUGGAUUCCACCCUUCCCCUGUACAUUGAUGGUGACAACAUGGUAAACUGGUGGGCAGAUGUAAUGGACACUGGCAGGUACCCAGGCCUAAACCACGUGGUUUGAGGGGCUCUCUCCAUUUUCCACGGACCCAUGGUAGAGUCAUCAUUUAGUGCCAUGAGAGACAUAAUUACCAACAAAAGCACUAAAAUGAGCAUGGCAACCUACAAUGCUAUCCAGACAACCAAAUAUGCCCUCAGGUCCAGGAGUCAGACAGCCAUCCAGAUGUUCAAGAGAGAUGACAGGAAGCUCUCCAGGGUCGAUAAGGUCCUCUGCAGGAACAUCCACACUGCAGGAACAACAGACAAGGCUCGCAGACAAAAGGCCUUGUUGAAGUAAAAAGAGAGGCAUGAAGAGUUUGAGUGCCAGCCAUCAACCAGUGGUGAGCAAAGCUCACUGCAGUGAAGGAGGACAGGCAAGCCAAAUUGAGGCACGUAACCGCUCAAAAGCGGAAAAAAGCACUGGAAGUACUGGUACUGCCUUUUUAACAGUGUACCUGACAUGUUUAUAUUAUUUUGUUUUGUUUUGUGUGUAAUUCAAUAUUGUAUACAGAUGUUUAAUUAAAUAUUUAGUUGUGUUUCUGUCAAGGAAUGCUGGGUUGGGGUGGGGGAGCCAAAUGGGAAGGGAGUUAUGUAGGAAGUAUUUCAAAUGUUGAUUCUGUGAGUUAGUUGUAAAAUUCUAAUAAACAGAAGUAAAAAAAAAAAGAACUGGCUUCAUUUCUCAUUUCCCUUUCCCUUGUUCGGAAAAGGAUAAAAGACAAGGUAAAGGGGUUGUGAAAGUUGAUAACCAUCCGAGCUAAAUAGCCGCAGCUUAUUUGUGUUUUACUGGAAUAACAUUGAAGCAUAUGCAAAAAAUACAUAUAUUCCCCGAGGGGUUUGGAUCUUUGUCACCUUUUUCAUCCCUGAUGAGUUUGCACCCCUGUAUACAAAAUCAUAAUCUUAGUGAAACUACAUUGAAGUUUUUUUAAAAUAAGACAAGGCAGGCAACAAUUGGAAUUGGCUAAGACUAAGCCUUUAACCAAGCCCUUUCAAUGUGAGUAUUAUUGUAUACAGUUCAGGCUUGAACGAGGCCUGAGUUAGAGUCGAGACACGAGUAUGACCGAAUCCCUAAGACCUAAAUGUGCCUCUUCUGCUCUCCUCACUGGCUCUUUACCUUUUUUCAACCAAAGUCUGCUGACUAGUUGGUCAUUGCUAGAUGGUCUUCUGUGAUGGAUCUGCCAUGAGCCUUAGCAAAUCACAACAUGAAUUAAGUCCAUCGUCACAAAACAUGGAACAAAGUGGUCUUCAAUUGUGACAUUUUUUAUUAAAUCACGCAAGAUAAAACGUGAACAAGCCUCAUUAGAGAGGAAAAAAGAUGCAAACAUUGUCUUCUAUUUAGGUUACCUUAUGGGAAAAAUCCAGUAUACAAAAAAAGGACAUAAUUGUGCUUUUACCGUGACAAGGACAAAAUUCAACCCCCCCCUUUCCCAGGGAACCUUUAAAUCUCCAUAUACAAUAAAGACAUACUGGUGCUGAACACAAUAAUUUAACUCAAUUUAGAGCCAUGGAUAAACUUCUUCGUCAUUGCAAUAUUAGACAGAAUUACCUUGAUCAGGACAUCAAAUGUUCCAAUGUUCCAUCUAAUGCAUCACAGUUGGUACAGUCCAUUUUCCUUUAGAAUUCCCAUAAAGCAGAUCAACUUCCUGUCUUAAUCUCUUUGUCACCCAGCUGGUCCAUUCCUACAGCCUACCAGAUACUAAACAUUUCAAGUUAUUUUAACUUCAAAAUGAACUUUAACAAUUGUGCUGUUUUUAUAAAUUGCAUUUUAGCCAAAGUGAAAUUUUAACUGGUUAAUGUUUUAACCUUACGCCAAAUGACUAAACCCGUGCACUGACCAACCUUAAACCAACCCCAUAUAAUGUCCUUUUUAUUUAUUAAUUAAAGCAAAGAUGAAUGUAUAGGAUUUGUGUGGCACACCUUCCAAUUUCUUCUCACAGCGGUUAGUGAUGUUAUUUUGCAGGAUGCUUUUUCUUUUACGCUCCGGAACUAUCAAAGCAUUUUGGGUCAGCGUACAUACCUUUGGAUACUUUCUUGAAGGGGUCGGAGUGCUCAGGGAUCCUGUCUCUCCUUUUAGGAACAGAUUCAGACACCAUGGAUUCAAGUAGGUUUUCCACAGGUCUGUUUCAGGUCACAUCUUGGAGCUCUGACAACCGUGACGGUACUUGUUACUGGUAUAAACAAAUCUGUGGUCUAGUAUGGAUGGUUUGCAAGGUCUGUGAUUGAAGUGCGUUUUGGAGUAUGUGAGUAGUGUUCAGAAGAAUGAACUAUCCCUACAUCCUCUUCGUCCUCUCUCACCUUUCCUUUCUCAUCCUACUAUUCUCGCCCUCAAACACAUGCUAUAUGAAUUCCUUCUUAUACUCUUUCUGUCUUUCUGAUCUCUUGGUUCUCCUCCUCUUCAUCUCUUCCUUCUCACUGUCGUAAUCCUUCCCUUCUUUGUUCCUGACCUACUAAUCCUACCCAUAAAUUCUCCCUUUAUCUGUAAAUCAAUCUUUUUUCCCUUUACACCACUUGCCUUUCACCUCAUUUUCUCUCCUAGGUUCACCCUUAAUUUUCUUGUUAACCUGUGUCUGCGUGUAUGAUUGGCAUGGGAACUCUGCUAUAAAGACCUUCACUGCACAUGAGAUUAUCUCCCCUUUAGGCAUUAAAUUAUCCACAGCAAAACACACAUACGCAAACACACCCGCAAAUGUAAAACUAUCCCUAUAAAGUCUAUAAAGGUGACUGUUUCCACAGUGACACUGUUUCUUUAUUUGUUCUUUCAACACAUGCACACUCAGAAACACACACAGAGGGAGCAAAUAAGAACUACUGUAUGUCAGAUGUUUACACUUUCGUGUGUGUGUGUGUGUGUGUGUGCAUGCAUGCGUGCGUGAGGAAGACUAACCACCUGUUCAACAACAGAGCUGAGGACACACUGGGGGGGUGUCCGUUUGUGUGUGUCCCUUCACCUGUCAAUAUGAAGAUAAUUGAUGAGACAGCCCAGCAAUAGACCUGAGGGACGGGUCCUUUCACACACACACACAUUUUACGCCCCACAACUUACACUGCUGGAGCAUUUGAAAGGUGGAACUUCAGUCAAAUUUUCUAGUUUCUGAAACCACUUCAGACCGAAAACAUGUAGCGGCCAAUUUUGGGCUAUUUGUUUCAUUAAAAUGUUUUUUUAGGCUGGUAAUAAUUACUUUAAAGCCAUUUCUGUUGACAGAAUCCAUUUUGACUUUUGGCAUUUUCAAUUAUUAAAAAAAUUGUCGGUUUUUCCCACUCCUUGGCUUUGGCAGGUCCCUUAAUUCCGCUGCUAACGCUGUUGAAUAUGAUCAACUUUCUUUUAUGGUUCUCAAAAUGUAUGACUUUAAUGAAGGACAUAUGAUGCAAUACUUGUAGCCUUAUUCGGUGUUACCUUAUUAGGUAACACCAAAUAAGGCUACAAGUUAGUUAAGUGGAGGUAACAGAACCACUCAGGGUUAGGAAAAGAGCCACAUUGAAAUAGUGGAAAGGAUGACCAGUCAUUAGUAGACUUGCUUCUGACAUGCGCAUUAACCACAAGCUCGUUGCGUAAUGUUUCAACAGUCAGCCCUCGCGCCAUGCGCUCAGGGGAGAUCCUACUUCAUCCUUAAAAUAUUCGGCAAGUAACAAAAGUUUCUUUGAAAAUAUAAUGUGAAACUGUAGAGCUAGAAAUGAAGCCAUGCAGGGUUAAUCGUUAAAUAAUUGCAAAAAUGCAAAUUAGUCUGGUCCUAGUUAGGUUUAUACUCCCUAUAGCUACAACCUUUGUCGAUUGUCAUUGGUAAAAAGCCGUGUUUAUUUGUGUGGUAUGAAUUGAGCAGUCACCCGUGCCCAUUUUAACGCCCAACACGAGCAGCUGUGUGCUUUUUUCAACGUGGGUAAAUCUGGAAAAAAUCGGUCAAAGCUAACGUUACUUUAAGAGUUUGUGUGAAGAGUAGCUGGUCAGACAGGACUCCAAACAAGUGAUGCCAGCGUGCACUGUGGGAGUCUGUCAACCGUCAUCUGCCAUCUGGUAAAAAUGCCCGUCAACGUUAUCUAUUUUAUGGUUUAAGACUUGCGUAACUAUUAUUACUUUAAUUAUUGAAUAGCCAGAUUAUUUUCUUUUGUGCCAAAAUCAAACUAAUAAUUUUAGAGUGAUGCUAAAAAGUUAUUUCUAAUAUUCCUUGUUUUCUAUGAAAGAGGUUUUUGUUUAUUUGCUGAUUGCCAUAAGUUGUCUGAAUUUUGCAUUCAUCAGCAUGUUUUUGUUGACAGCCGAAGACAUUAAUCAAUAUCUCUCUUCUUUUUAGGCCCUGAAUGUGGAGGUGCAAACAGUGCUCUGAGACCGUUUCGACGAGAAUCCCAAGCAUUGAAGUAAGGGGGGAAUGCAGGGUAUGCGGGUAUGCUUCUACUUAAAUGAAGAUCCUGACAAACUUGUUAAAAAGUACAUGUUUGAGGAUGUUGCUGGAGUGGACGAAAUGGAGGAAGUGGUUUUGGCCAUCUACGUUGUGGAACAUGAGGGAGCAGAGGCAACCGAUGAACCUGAGGAUAUUGGCAUCAUCGUUGAAGAGUGUACAGUGCUGGAAUACCUCAGAAAAGUGGCAAAUGGCUGCGCAUCCCUGUUUGGUGUGAUCUACAGUUUAAACUUGAGCUAUCCCAAGGACCUUUGAUACACUUUCAAGUUUAUUCAGAAAGUUUGGAUGGGAUUGGAUGGGAACAAGCUCUCCACUAAGGUCCUCAAAAAAAAACUGCAUGAGGAAAAUGCCAUCAAGGCUGGAUAAGAAUUUCUGUUCAUCCUCACACAGGAAAGUGCUUUUGCACUGUGGACUGAUGCUGAACACAUUGUUUGUUGGUUUGCUGUUGUGUUAUUAGACGCUGUCACUAUGUUUUUUCACUGUAUGUUUUUUUAAAAGUUGGACAUUUUAUGUUGACAUUUUAAAUAGCAUAAACUCCAUGUUGACUAGUUCAUAAAUUCCAAAUUUGAUGAUUCUGGUAAUGUUUAAGUUCUCAACCUAAACUUGUUAUUUCAGAAGAUACGUAUUUAAUAGAGAACAGAAUCACUGUUUUACUGUUUCAGCUUCACAGUGUGAGGUUAAAACCAUAAGAUUAUUAUCUAUAUAGAUAUUCAUAGAUUUGUUUUCAUUAUUUCUUAUUGGUACAUUUUCAGUUUUUAUAAAUUUGUGUGUUGUACACAUGCAUAUUAUACACAGGUGAAUAGUCCCACCUGCUUCAAACCUGAUAAUAAAGGUUUAAGUGAAUUUCAGCAAAAACUUAAUUUGUAUUUAUUUGACUCAUUUAUUUAAACUGAACAACUAAG